rnacentral:tRNA from 1 species
GUUUAAGUAGCUUAAUUCAAAAGCUUUACGUUGAAGCUGUAUUGAUGGUAUUUUUACCCUUAAACA